rnacentral:rRNA from 1 species
UACAGAGGUCUCAAGCGUUGUUCGGAUUCACUGGGCGUAAAGGGUGCGUAGGCGGGUCUUUAAGUCAGGGGGGAAAUCCUGGAGCUCAACUCCAGAACUGCCUUUGAUACUGAAGAUCUUGAGUCCGGGAGAGGUGAGUGGAACUGCGAGUGUAGAGGUGAAAUUCGUAGAUAUUCGCAAGAACACCAGUGGCGAAGGCGGCUCACUGGCCCGGUACUGACGCUGAGGCACGAAAGCGUGGGGAGCAAACAGG